UUUUAAGCGUCAGAGAGACUUCCCGCUUACUUCAUGGAGCACAGAAGGAGAAGAUAGCUGUCGGUGAUGUUGUUGUGUUAAAAAAUGAUCUUUCCCCUCAAAUUUUGAGGAAAUUGGCAAGAGUUACCGAGCUCAUAGUAAUGGCAACUAUGUUGAAAU